UCCCCCCCAGCCUUCUCUUCUCCAAGGAGAGAACGCCUAAUUCCUUCAGUGCUUCCUCACAGGGCAGGUUCUCCAGCCCUUUGAUCAUCUUCCUGGCCUUCCUUUGGACCCUCUCUUGUCUUUCUGCUUCUUUCUUGAGCUGUGGGGACACGAGCUGGACACGAGCUGUGCUCCAGGUUCCUUCCACAGGCUCUAGUGAAAGGUGUCCCUGCCCGUGGCAGGGGGUUGGAACCAGAUGGUCUUUAAGGUCCCUUCCAACCCAAACCAUUCUCUGACUGGAGGUGCAGCAUGACAGGUGCUGAGUGGGAUGGGAAGAUCCCACUCUGUCCCCACAGAUGCAGCCCAGGACCCCAUCUGCCUUUUAGCCACAGCAGGCACUGCUGACUCAUGAUCACUCCUUGUCCACCAACAUAUCUCGACCUCUGCAUUUCUGCUUUAGCAGAGAUAUGAUUCACUGGAAUAAAAUUAUAUCCACAGAGUUUUUCCACACUUGCAGAGGAGAUUAUUUUUAGGAGCUCCCAACAUUUCGCUUUCAGAGAAGGAACUAGUAGUGUAAAAUUUCUUUAAUUUCUCCCCGAAAGUCAAAGAAAUACAGCAUGUUUGCCUAUUCACUUGGUCUAUCCUUUGGCAGCAAGGGAUAAACUUAAAAGGCUGAGGUUUUUUCAGGCUCUUGCUAUCAUUAAAGCACCAGUUUUCUGAGAUAGAACAACCUCUUUGAAGAUAUGGUAUUUACUGUUUUCUGAUGGUAUUAAUUGCAAGACCUGUAAGCUCACAUGAGCUUACUAGACACAGCCAGACACACACUACUGGGAGGAGUCUUUUUUUAUUUUUUUAAGUUGAGACAUAUCUUAGCCAUGUUUCCAUGACCAGUGGCCACGCAGGCAUUUUUACAAUAACCUCUGAUGUGUUCAGGUAUUCAGUUUUUCUUGCUAGCCAGACUUCAGACAAUCACAGGAGUCUCUUGUUACUUUCAAGAAAAUGAAAAGAGGUUUGUAGAGGAAAAAAGUAAAGCAGGGGAUACAUUUUAAAUCAUAUUGAAGUGUUGUGGUGGAGAGUCCUAGGCAUCAAGUUUGCCUGUUUUCCUUAGGAGAAAAAUAUCCAGUGGCUGCAGUACCCCAGUACCAGAAAGAAUAUCCUACAGGAGUGGUGUAAUAUGCACUUCCAGGAGUUGAUAUGAUGGAUAUAGAAUGGAGGCCUCUCUCCCACAGGCAGUGACUUUACAAGCAGUGUGAGAAGCACUGGCCUGGCACAGAGUCAGCAGAUUUGUAGAGGAAUUGAGGUGUAAUUUCAGUGUACUGUACCCCCAUUCAUACAAAAUGAAUUUUCUGAGGGGUGGUGGAGUCCAGUGAGGUGUUGUUACAGCUGACACCUGGUACCAAAGACAGACUUAAGUUGUAGGAAAAGCAGUUCUGUAUUCAGGAUGUAAGGAAUCCUGAUUGGAGUCUUGCACCUGCCCUUUAUGGAUGUUUGCAGAAGCAAAAUAUGUAUUUGCCAGAAUGUAUAAAAGAAAUUUGUCAUGGACCAAAAAAGGGAAGAGAAGAACAGGUAUCAGGGAAAGUCUCAGUUGAUGCUUUGCAGUGUCAAGGAAUUGCACACUAGAAAGGCAGAAUUUUGCUGAGUUUUAGGGUGGCUGUGCUGUGAAGAAAAAAGCUUCUAGAGAAAGCAAUUUGCAUUUGGAAAAGAGAUUAUUUUACAGAUAUUGGUUCAAGUUGAUAGUCAUUCCCUGAAUAGCAUCUGGUGUAUUAUCUCAAUAGAUCUUGUUAUCUCCCAUAGAAAUGAGCCAAGAAAAGUAUCUGUAGUAAGAUUUGAAAAUAACCUUUGUUAUUAUAUGUCAUUAACUCACAAGAAUCAAAAUACAUGGCCACCAAUGACAACGAAUAAGAACAAUGCAGUUUCUUGAGCAGUCUGUUCCAUGUGUUUCCAGUCUCUAGAAUAAUAAUAAUAAAAUAAUAAAAUACA